AGCAUCUGACCACUGGUGACGUGUGCGUUGUGUACGGUGAAUACAUGACUGGAAGUCUGAGGUCCAA
ensembl:snoRNA